GGAUGCUAGCUCAGUGGUUCAGCAUCUGCUUUGCAUGCAGAAAGUUCCAGGUUCAAUCCUUGGCAUUGCCA